UGAGAAUCCUGUGUGUUGCUUGCAGACUUCUGUGUACAGUGCCCAUUUUCAGAAUCAUGCUCUUUGGAACUGGAGUGCAAAGUGGGUGGUAGCUCCCACUCAAAGUCGAACAUGACAUUGGGACUGACAGGGGAGAAGUACCGUGAGGGAAGCGUGAAAAGGACUUUGGAAAGAGAUUUAAAAGAGCCUGCACUUGCUGAGUGCCAAGCACACAGGAUGGCAGAGGUGGGAGAGAUUGCUGCGUGCGUGUGCAAUUCUGGCUGUCACCAGACAGGAGCUUGCCAUGCAUGCUUGUGCUGCAUGUGGAGAUUCUUUUCUUGAGUGCCAGUAUGUAUGUAUGUAGUCGAUGCCUGUUGGCAUUGCUUGUGGUGUAUCCUGGGAUAUGUGAUUGUGUGUGCCUUGUCUGAACGUGCCGAAGGCUCUGUUGCACUGUGACCCAAGCUAUCAGCAUGCCUGUCUGUAUUCACUGUUGGGGAGUCCAUGACCAGUGUGUUUGCGGUGAGCUCCAUUCUGUGUGACCCGUCUUGAAACACGGACCAAGGAGUCUAGCAUAGUUGCAAGCUUGUGGGGGAGAGAACUCAGUGCACAAUGAAGGUGGAGUCCCAGAGUGGGCAUGAGUGUUCAACCAAGCAG
rnacentral:rRNA from 1 species